rnacentral:hammerhead_ribozyme from 1 species
AUCCAGAUGACGAGUCCAAAAAAGAACGAAAUGCGCAUCCUGGAU